GGAACACAAACUGAGUUUCUCUUUUAAAAUAUCGAUGCUGAUCCCUGGUAGAGACUCAACUCUUCACUUCUAAUACCAAAACUCAAAUCUGAGGCUUUGUAUCAGUUGAUUCAAUCCAAUACAGAAAAACAGCUGAAUGGACUUAAAACAUUUGUUAAAGUUAUGUUAGAAAUGUUUGUAAAUGUACAGAAUUACAAAAUUAUCUGCUAACUCUGCACCAGUACAACACAUUUAAACCCACCAAUAGUGUCACAAGCCAGUGUAACCAGGAUAAUUUUUCUAUAUUAGAUUCAGUUUAUUUUAUUUUCCAUUUUGUUAGAUCUAAUUUUAUUUAUUUUUAUUUAAAGGUUAAUUAAAAUCCUCCUUUCCUUAAUUUAUUCAACACCAACCAGGCGAGAACAACAUUGUUCUCGCGCGGUUUUGACGUCAUGUGACGGCUGCACGUCAGCGUCCUAAAUUGACAGCUACGGCUUAUAUGGCUGCUAAUCGCACCUUAGGUAGGAAACGCUGUCGGACCCUGACGUACAGGUAGGCUUCUGGUCUGUUCCCAAAGCGGUUUUCAGAUAUCAUGUGCCUCUGUUAACUUGCAGACGUGUGAUCAAUCAACCGAACGUUGUAAAGAUCACGGUUGGUCAAGAGGGAACUGGCCAGGUGUAUUGCAGAUCCCCCGCUCAAGGAGUGGCUGAAGGGUCUAGGAUACAGCAAGGAUUGUCUGGCUUCAUGCUGACCAGACUGGCGAGCUAACCGUUUAGUGGAUCCGGAAAUGCAACGCCUAUUGUCUGAGGAAACUCUUCCGAACUGGUUGGAGAUUCAGCCCAACAAGUCUUCACUGAAGGAACUGGAUUAUUUUUUUUUUGUUUUUUUUUCCCCUUUCAUCAUCAACAAAUACUGGUUGACUUCCUUGGUUUAAGGAACCCAUUUGGACUUUAAAAUUGUGGACUAACUUGUAUAUAUUGUAAAUAUUAAUACAACUCACCAAUUUUGCACCAUC